AACAACCAAAUCUUAUCUUUCUAGAAGAGAUUGUUUCUAACUAAUCACUUAAAUCUUGAAUCUUGAAUUCAGUUGAAGCUUCCUCGGAGUUGGUUAUGCAUUGGUGCCAGGCUUGGUGACUUUAUGCCGGGCACCCAGUACAUAGACUUUGUAGUGGGGUUGGGUGCUAUGUUUUUGUGUCAGGCUUGGAGAAGUGGUGUUGGGCAUCAUUCCUUGAUGCUGGGUGCCACCUCUUUGAUGUCGGGCGCCACCUCUUUGAUGCUGGUAAUUAGAUUUGGGCGCUAGCUUGGCUUUCUAAGAAGUGAGCUUGUCUUCUUUGGGCCUACGCCUCCAAGCUUGUUUUUGUGUCGAUUUUUAUCCUAAUUUGCUUGAUUUUGGCUGAAAAUACAAUUAUUCUAACACAACUCUAAAUAUAUGAUCAGUUAUCAAAAUAUCACUAAAAACAUAAGGGUUUGAUUCAAAAACUAAGAAAACUAAUGAAAAAGAAGCUUAAAAACAUAAGAAUUUGGUUCAAGGAGGAGUACUUCAAAGUGAGACUGGCAAGAGGAUAUCAUCCAUUUUGACACACUCUAGAAGGGGAACCGAGGUUCCCGACCUACAGGAAGUAUGAGGCCGCGGCCGACUACCUAGUAAAGGAAACUUUUGAAGGGUAGUUGAGAAAGUAAAAACAUAGUCUAGGUAUUGACGGUCAUUUUUUGGAAUAGGCCGUUGAACCCCCGACGUGUGAUAGGUGACCAGGAGGCUGGUCGUCAGUAUAUAUGGCCGGUGGGCUUACGACCAUGAAAAACCUCAUGGCAGCCUCAUACUGAGGAGGUCCCUGCCUCAGAUGCCUCAAGCUGAGUAUGAUCUUCAUGAGAUCAUGCCCCCCAUCUCCUUGAAAAAAUGAAAGACGGCAUCGAGUGGGAAGAGGAAGGAGGUUGUCGUUUCUUUUGUGAUGGAGAAAGCUUUUUUGAUGCCCCAGCUUUCAUUGAUGAGCACUUGCUUCCAAAGACAGAAGAGUACUUCAACAACCACGAUCUUGUCGAUCAAGCAAAGUGGGUCUAUCACUCAUUGCUUCAUUCUGCAAUGGUGGUUCGUAGGAUAAAAGAUAGUUCUAGGGUAGUCAUGAGUGUUUGAUGAGAAACUUUGGCAGGCCCAGACCAAUCUGAUGACUGCCCGAUCAGAAAGGGAUAUGACUGAAGCUACUAGGGCUAAGGCUAAGAAAAAAGCUCAGGAAGCUGAGAAUGAGAUCCAUCAUCUUAUCGAUCGUGAGACAUCCUUGAGGAUGGAGGCUUCAAAAGAGGAGUGUCGGGCUGAGGAGGCAGAGAAGAAAGCGAAAGCCACCAAGGAUGCUGCGGACGUCUUGAAAAAGAGAAAUAAGGAGAUUGUGAGGAUUGCAAAGGAAGCCAUUUCUGCUACUAAGGAGUCUUUAAAGUUGCAAGUUUCCCUCCUUUCUCCUGAUUUUGAAGUCUCCCGGAUUGGUGCCUUCAAGACUACCUGAGAUGGGCAGAUUGGAGAUUAUAGCUUUGAGAAGAAAACCUAGUUUCUAUUUAUUGUAUAUUUUGAAUGUAUGCUCGACUUUGAAUAUUUUGGAUACCGUAUUUAUGGCAUGUUGGUUUAAGUUUGCA